rnacentral:rRNA from 1 species
AGCAGCCGCGGUAAUUCCAGCUCCAAUAGCGUAUAUUAAAGUUGUUGCAGUUAAAAAGCUCGUAGUUGAAUUUCGGGAUCAAUACGUCGGUCGUGCUUCGGUACGUACUGGCGUAAUUGAUUUCUCCCUUCUGACGAACCAUGAUGUCAUUAACUUGGUGUCAUGGGAAAUCAGGACUGUUACUUUGAAAAAAUUAGAGUGUUUAAAGCAGGCUCACGCUUGAAUACAUUAGCAUGGAAUAAUGAAAUAGGACGUUCGAUCCUAUUUUGUUGGUUUUUAGGAUCAACGUAAUGAUUAAUAGGGAUAGUUGGGGGCAUUAGUAUUCAAUUGUCAGAGGUGAAAUUCUUGGAUUUAUUGAAGACUAACUACUGCGAAAGCAUUUGCCAAGGAUGUUUUCAUUAAUCAAGAACGAAAGUUAGGGGAUCGAAGACGAUCAGAUACCGUCGUAGUCUUAACCAUAAACUAUGCCGACUAGGGAUCGGAUGAUGUACUUAAU